GACGAACGCUGGCGGCAUGCCUAAUACAUGCAAGUCGAGCGAACAGAUGAAGUGCUUGCACUUCUGACGUUAGCGGCGAACGGGUGAGUAACACGUAAGGAAUCUACCUAUAAGCGGGGGAUAACAUUCGGAAACGGGUGCUAAUACCGCAUAAUAUCUUCUUCCGCAUGGAAGAAGAUUGAAAGACGGCUCUGCUGUCACUUAUAGAUGACCUUGCGGUGCAUUAGUUAGUUGGUGGGGUAAUAGCCUACCAAGACGAUGAUGCAUAGCCGACCUGAGAGGGUGAUCGGCCACAUUGGGACUGAGACACGGCCCAAACUCCUACGGGAGGCAGCAGUAGGGAAUCUUCCGCAAUGGGCGAAAGCCUGACGGAGCAAUGCCGCGUGAGUGAAGAAGGCCUUCGGGUCGUAAAACUCUGUUAUAAGAGAAGAACAAAUUGUAGAGUAACUGCUACAGUCUUGACAGUAUCUUAUCAGAAAGCCACGGCUAACUACGUGCCAGCAGCCGCCGUAA
rnacentral:rRNA from 1 species